UACGUAGGGUGCAAGCGUUGUCCGGAAUUAUUGGGCGUAAAGAGCUCGUAGGCGGUUUGUCGCGUCUGCUGUGAAAACUCGGGGCUUAACCCCGGGCCUGCAGUGGGUACGGGCAGACUAGAGUGCGGUAGGGGAGACUGGAAUUCCUGGUGUAGCGGUGAAAUGCGCAGAUAUCAGGAGGAACACCGGAGGCGAAGGCGGGUCUCUGGGCCGAUACUGACGCUGAGGAGCGAAAGCGUGGGGAGCGAACAGG
rnacentral:rRNA from 1 species